rnacentral:misc_RNA from 1 species
ACAGCAAUGAUUACGAUGUGAAGAUGCGCAACGUCUUCAAGUUCCUCGAAGCCGGCGACAAGGUGAAGAUCACCCUGCGCUUCCGCGGCCGCGAGAUGGCGCACCAGGAACUGGGACGGCAGUUGCUGGAACGCGUGGCAGAGGACACCAAGGAGCACGGCAAGGUCGAGAACUUCCCCAAGAUGGAAGGCCGCCAGAUGGUCAUGCUGAUCGGGCCGCUGCCGAAGUAGGUCUGCCAUUCCGAUUUGAUCAAGCGGCCCCGAGGUGAUCCUCGGGGCCGUUGUCGUUUGCACAGUCCAGUCUUGGCGGAU